rnacentral:rRNA from 1 species
CACGUAGGGGCCAAGCGUUGUCCGGAUUUAUUGGGCGUAAAGAGCUCGUAGGCGGUUGGGUAAGUCGGGUGUGAAAACUCCGGGCUCAACUCGGAGACGCCACCCGAUACUGCUCUGACUUGAGUCCGGUAGGGGAGUGGGGAAUUCCUGGUGUAGCGGUGAAAUGCGCAGAGUAUCAGGAAGAACACCCGUGGCGAAGGCGGCUCUCUGGUACGUGACUGACGCUGAGACGCGAAAGCGUGGGGAGCAAACAGG